rnacentral:rRNA from 1 species
CUCAGAACGAAAGCUGGCGGCAUGCUUCAUGCAUGCAAGUCGCACGCACUUCGCUUGCGAGGUGAGUGGCGCACGGCUGAGGUACACCUGGGUACCUGCCCUCUCGUGGGGGAUAACGCGGCGAAAGCCACGCUAAACCCGCAUACGCUCCCGCCUUUGGGCGGGAGGAAAACUCUUAACAAGUGCGGGAGGAGGGGCCUGCGGCCCAUCAGGGCGUUGGUGGGGUAAGAGCCUACCAAGCCGAUGACGGGUAGCUGGUCUGUGAGGACAGACAGCCAGACUGGGACUGAGACACGGCCCAGACUCCUACGGGAGGCAGCAG